rnacentral:rRNA from 1 species
GAUGAACGUUGGCGGCAUGGAUUAGGCAUGCAAGUCGAGCGAGAAGAGCUUUGGAGCUUGCUUUAGAACUCGGACAGCGGCGAAAGGGAGAGUAACGCGUAGUUAUGUGCCCUAGGGUCCGGAAUAGCCACGGGAAACUGUGGGUAAUGCCGGAUAAUAUCCCCGGAUCAAAGGUGUGAUUCCGCCCUAGGAGCAGACUGCGUCCUACUAGCUAGUUGGUGGGGUAAUGGCCCACCAAGGCAAUGAUGGGUAGCGGGUGUGAGAGCAUGACCCGUCUCACUGGGGCUGAGACACUGCCCAGACGCCUACGGGUGGCUGCAGUCGAGAAUCUUCGGCAAUGGGCGAAAGCCUGACCGAGCGAUGCCGCGUGCGGGAUGAAGGCCCUCGGGUUGUAAACCGCUGUCGUAGGGGAGGAAGGUUCCGUGAAGAGCGGGACUUGACCUAUCCUAGGAGGAAGUACGGGCUAAGUUCGUGCCAGCAGCCGCCGUAA